rnacentral:sRNA from 1 species
GCUUUUCCUUAUCUGUAUCUAAUACGUUGGUUUAUCUGGAGCCUGUCUUCCUGCGCUCUUAGUGACAGUCUUCGCUCUCAACAAAACGCACGAAGACAGGCCCGUCAUGUAGUUGCCGUGAGCCCUCAAGGG